rnacentral:rRNA from 1 species
AUUGAACGCUGGCGGCAGGCCUAACACAUGCAAGUCGAACGGUAACAGGAAACAGCUUGCUGUUUCGCUGACGAGUGGCGGACGGGUGAGUAAUGUCUGGGAAACUGCCUGAUGGAGGGGGAUAACUACUGGAAACGGUAGCUAAUACCGCAUAACGUCGCAAGACCAAAGAGGGGGACCCUCGGGCCUCUUGCCAUCGGAUUGGCCCAGAUGGGAUUAGCUUGUUGGUGGGGUAACGGCUCACCAAGGCGACGAUCCCUAGCUGGUCUGAGAGGAUGACCAGCCACACUGGAACUGAGACACGGUCCAGACUCCUACGGGAGGCAGCAGUGGGGAAUAUUGCACAAUGGGCGCAAGCCUGAUGCAGCCAUGCCGCGUGUAUGAAGAAGGCCUUCGGGUUGUAAAGUACUUUCAGCGGGGAGGAAGGGAGUAAAGUUAAUACCUUUGCUCAUUGACGUUACCCGCAGAAGAAGCACCGGCUAACUCCGUG